rnacentral:rRNA from 1 species
UGGGGAAUCUUGGACAAUGGGCGCAAGCCUGAUCCAGCCAUGCCGCGUGAGUGAUGAAGGCCUUAGGGUUGUAAAACUCUUUCGCCGAGGACGAUAAUGACGGUACUCGGAGAAGAAGCUCCGGCUAACUUCGUGCCAGCAGCCGCGGUAAUACGUAGGGACCAAGCGUUGUUCGGAUUUACUGGGCGUAAAGGGCGCGUAGGCGGCAUGACAAGUCACUUGUGAAAUCUCUGGGCUUAACCCAGAACGGCCAAGUGAUACUGUCGCGCUAGAGUGCAGAAGGGGCAAUCGGAAUUCUUGGUGUAGCGGUGAAAUGCGUAGAUAUCAAGAGGAACACCUGAGGUGAAGACGGGUUGCUGGGCUGACACUGACGCUGAGGCGCGAAAGCCAGGGGAGCAAACGGGAUUAGAUACCCAAGUAGUCCCUGAGCGGGCUGGCAAGGCGCAU